rnacentral:rRNA from 1 species
GACGAACGCUGGCGGCGUGCUUAACACAUGCAAGUCGAACGAGAAUCUACUAAAAGAGGAUUCGUCCAAUGGAAGUAGAGGAAAGUGGCGGACGGGUGAGUAACGCGUGAGGAACCUGCCUUGAAGAGGGGGACAACAGUUGGAAACGACUGCUAAUACCGCAUGAAGCAUAGGGGUCGCAUGAUUUUUAUGCCAAAGAUUUAUCGCCUGAAGAGGGGUUUGCGUCUGAUUAGGUAGUUGGUGAGGUAACGGCCCACCAAGUCGACGAUCAGUAGCCGGACUGAGAGGUUGAUCGGCCACAUUGGGACUGAGACACGGCCCAGACUCCUACGGGAGGCAGCAGUGGGGGAUAUUGCACAAUGGGCAAAGCCUGAUGCAGCGACGCCGCGUGAGGGAAGACGGUUUUCGGAUUGUAAACCUCUGUCUUCGGGGACGAAAAUGACGGUACCCGAGGAGGAAGCCACGGCUAACUACGUG